UACGGAGGGGGCGAGCGUUAUUCGGAAUUAUUGGGCGUAAAGGGCGCGUAGGCGGCUUCUUAAGUCAAAGGUGAAAUCCCUCGGCUCAACUGAGGAACUGCCUUUGAAACUGGGGAGCUUGAGUCCGGGAGGGGGUAGCGGAAUUCCCAGUGUAGCGGUGAAAUGCGUAGAUAUUGGGAGGAACACCAGUGGCGAAGGCGGCUACCUGGCCCGGUACUGACGCUGAGGCGCGAAAGCGUGGGGAGCAAACAGG
rnacentral:rRNA from 1 species